GGAAAGGCCAUUGCUUAGUAGUAGAGCAUCUGCUUUGUGUGUGGACGAACCCGGGUUCAAUCCCUGACUUCUCCA